AGUGAACGCUGGCGGUAGGCCUAACACAUGCAAGUCGAACGGCAGCACAGUAAGAGCUUGCUCUUACGGGUGGCGAGUGGCGGACGGGUGAGGAAUACAUCGGAAUCUACUUUUUCGUGGGGGAUAACGUAGGGAGACUUACGCUAAUACCGCAUACGACCUACGGGUGAAAGCAGGGGAUCUUCGGACCUUGCGCGAUUGAAUGAGCCGAUGUCGGAUUAGCCAGUUGGCGGGGUAAAGGCCCACCAAGGCGACGAUCCGUAGCUGGUCUGAGAGGAUGAUCAGCCACACUGGAACUGAGACACGGUCCAGACUCCUACGGGAGGCAGCAGUGGGGAAUAUUGGACAAUGGGCGCAAGCCUGAUCCAGCCAUACCGCGUGGGUGAAGAAGGCCUUCGGGUUGUAAAGCCCUUUUGUUGGGAAAGAAAAGCAGCAGGUUAAUACCCCGCUGUUCUGACGGUACCCAAAGAAUAAGCACCGGCUAACUUCGUG
rnacentral:rRNA from 1 species